rnacentral:misc_RNA from 1 species
UACAGAGGCCCCAAGCGUUAUCCGGAAUCAUUGGGCGUAAAGGGUGUGUAGGUGGUUAUAUUAGUCUCGUGUUAAAUCUUCAGGCUCAACCUGAAGCCAGCAAGGGAAACGGUAUAACUAGAGGAUGCGAGAGGUGUACGGAACUCAUGGAGUAGGGGUGAAAUCCGUUGAUAUCAUGGGGAACACCAAAAGCGAAGGCAGUACACUGGCGUAUUCCUGACACUGAAACACGAAAGCUAGGGUAGCGAACGGG